UUUCCGUAGGUGAACCUGCGGAAGGAUCAUUAUUGUAUAACCGAGGUGCGAGGGCUGUCGCUGACCCGAAAGGUCGUGCACGCCCGAGUGCCCUCACACACAUCCAUCUCACCCCUAUGUGCACCACCGCGUGGGUCCCCCUUUGGCUUGUUCGGAGGGGGGCUUACGUUUUCACACAAACUUUGUAUGCAGUGUAGAAUGUAUUUUUUGUUUUUGCGAUCACGCAAUCAAUACAACUUUCAACAACGGAUCUCUAGGCUCUCACAUCGAUGAAGAACGCAG
rnacentral:misc_RNA from 1 species